rnacentral:rRNA from 1 species
GACGAACGCUGGCGGCGCGCCUAACACAUGCAAGUCGAACGAGAGAGAGGGAGCUUGCUUCCUUGAUCGAGUGGCGAACGGGUGAGUAACGCGUGAGGAACCUGCCUCAAAGAGGGGGACAACAGUUGGAAACGACUGCUAAUACCGCAUAAGCCCACGACCCGGCAUCGGGAAGAGGGAAAAGGAGCAAUCCGCUUUGAGAUGGCCUCGCGUCCGAUUAGCUAGUUGGUGAGGUAACGGCCCACCAAGGCGACGAUCGGUAGCCGGACUGAGAGGUUGAACGGCCACAUUGGGACUGAGACACGGCCCAGACUCCUACGGGAGGCAGCAGUGGGGAAUAUUGCACAAUGGGGGAAACCCUGAUGCAGCGACGCCGCGUGGAGGAAGAAGGUCUUCGGAUUGUAAACUCCUGUUGUUGAGGAAGAUAAUGACGGUACUCAACAAGGAAGUGACGGCUAACUACGUGCCAGCAGCCGCGGUAAAACGUAGGUCACAAGCGUUGUCCGGAAUUACUGGGUGUAAAGGGAGCGCAGGCGGGCGAUCAAGUUGGAAGUGAAAUUCAUGGGCUCAACCCAUGAACUGCUUUCAAAACUGGUCGUCUUGAGUAGUGCAGAGGUAGGCGGAAUUCCCGGUGUAGCGGUGGAAUGCGUAGAUAUCGGGAGGAACACCAGUGGCGAAGGCGGCCUACUGGGCACCAACUGACGCUGAGGCUCGAAAGUGUGGGUAGCAAACAGGAUUAGAUACCCUGGUAGUCCACACCGUAAACGCUCAUAAAGGGGUGUUGGGAGAUUGACCCUCUCAGUGCCGCAGUUAACACAAUAAGUAAUCCACCUGGGGAGUACGACCGCAAGGUUGAAACUCAAAGGAAUAGACGGGGGCCCGCACAAGCAGUGGAGUAUGUGGUUUAAUUCGACGCAACGCGAAGAACCUUACCAAGUCUUGACAUCCUCUGACGAA